rnacentral:rRNA from 1 species
GAUGAACGCUGGCGGCGUGCCUAAUACAUGCAAGUCGAGCGAACAGACGAGGAGCUUGCUCCUCUGACGUUAGCGGCGGACGGGUGAGUAACACGUGGAUAACCUACCUAUAAGACUGGGAUAACUUCGGGAAACCGGAGCUAAUACCGGAUAAUAUAUUGAACCGCAUGGUUCAAUAGUGAAAGACGGUUUUGCUGUCACUUAUAGCUGGAUCCGCGCCGCAUUAGCUAGUUGGUAAGGUAACGGCUUACCAAGGCGACGAUGCGUAGCCGACCUGAGAGGGUGAUCGGCCACACUGGAACUGAGACACGGUCCAGACUCCUACGGGAGGCAGCAGUAGGGAAUCUUCCGCAAUGGGCGAGAGCCUGACGGAGCAACGCCGCGUGAGUGAUGAAGGUCUUCGGAUCGUAAAACUCUGUUAUUAGGGAAGAACAAAUGUGUAAGUAACUAUGCACGUCUUGACGGGACCUAAUCAGAAAGCCACGGCUAACUACGUG